rnacentral:rRNA from 2 species
AGACCCGAAACCCGGUGAUCUAGCCAUGGGCAGGUUGAAGGUUGGGUAACACUAACUGGAGGACCGAACCGACUAAUGUUGAAAAAUUAGCGGAUGACCUGUGGCUGGGGGUGAAAGGCCAAUCAAACCGGGAGAUAGCUGGUUCUCCCCGAAAGCUAUUUAGGUAGCGCCUCGUGAAUUCAUCUCCGGGGGUAGAGCACUGUUUCGGCUAGGGGGCCAUCCCGGCUUACCAACCCGAUGCAAACUGCGAAUACCGGAGAAUGUUAUCACGGGAGACACACGGCGGGUGCUAACGUCCGUCGUGAAGAGGGAAACAACCCAGACCGCCAGCUAAGGUCCCAAAGUCAUGGUUAAGUGGGAAACGAUGUGGGAAGGCCCAGACAGCCAGGAUGUUGGCUUAGAAGCAGCCAUCAUUUAAAGAAAGCGUAAUAGCUCACUGGUCGAGUCGGCCUGCGCGGAAGAUGUAACGGGGCUAAACCAUGCACCGAAGCUGCGGCAGCGAACGUAUCACCCAAGACAACUUUACGGAGUUGACGAUUGACGGAGCGAAGCGACGUCAAAGCGUUCAUUAAAGUCGAGUUGGCUUAGGGAUACGUUCGUUGGGUAGGGGAGCGUUCUGUAAGCCUGUGAAGGUGUGUCGUGAGGCAUGCUGGAGGUAUCAGAAGUGCGAAUGCUGACAUAAGUAACGAUAAAGCGGGUGAAAAGCCCGCUCGCCGGAAGACCAAGGGUUCCUGUCCAACGUUAAUCGGGGCAGGGUGAGUCGACCCCUAAGGCGAGGCCGAAAGGCGUAGUCGAUGGGAAACGGGUUAAUAUUCCCGUACUUGGUGUUACUGCGAAGGGGGGACGGAGAAGGCUAUGUUGGCCGGGCGACGGUUGUCCCGGUUUAAGCGUGUAGGUGUGUGUUCCAGGUAAAUCCGGUUCACUUUAACACUGAGGCGUGACGACGAGGCACUACGGUGCUGAAGCAACAAAUGCCCUGCUUCCAGGAAAAGCCUCUAAGCAUCAGGUAACACGAAAUCGUACCCCAAACCGACACAGGUGGUCAGGUAGAGAAUACCAAGGCGCUUGAGAGAACUCGGGUGAAGGAACUAGGCAAAAU